rnacentral:rRNA from 1 species
GAUGAACGCUGGCGGCGUGCUUAACACAUGCAAGUCGAACGAAGCACUUAUCUUUGAUUCUUCGGAUGAAGAGGUUUGUGACUGAGUGGCGGACGGGUGAGUAACGCGUGGGUAACCUGCCUCAUACAGGGGGAUAACAGUUAGAAAUGACUGCUAAUACCGCAUAAGCGCACAGUACUGCAUGGUACAGUGUGAAAAACUCCGGUGGUAUGAGAUGGACCCGCGUCUGAUUAGCUAGUUGGAGGGGUAACGGCCCACCAAGGCGAUGAUCAGUAGCCGGUCUGAGAGGAUGAACGGCCACAUUGGGACUGAGACACGGCCCAGACUCCUACGGAAGGCAGCAGUGGGGAAUCUUCCGCAAUGGACGAAAGUCUGACGGAGCAACGCCGCGUGAGUGAUGACGGCCUUCGGGUUGUAAAGCUCUGUUAAUCGGGACGAAAGGCCUUCUUGCGAAUAGUUAGAAGGAUUGACGGUACCGGAAUAGAAAGCCACGGCUAACUACGUGCCAGCAGCCGCGGUAAUACGUAGGUGGCAAGCGUUGUCCGGAAUUAUUGGGCGUAAAGCGCGCGCAGGCGGAUUGGUCAGUCUGUCUUAAAAGUUCGGGGCUUAACCCCGUGAUGGGAUGGAAACUGCCAAUCUAGAGUAUCGGAGAGGAAAGUGGAAUUCCUAGUGUAGCGGUGAAAUGCGUAGAUAUUAGGAAGAACACCAGUGGCGAAGGCGACUUUCUGGACGAAAACUGACGCUGAGGCGCGAAAGCCAGGGGAGCGAACGGGAUUAGAUACCCCGGUAGUCCUGGCCGUAAACGAUGGGUACUAGGUGUAGGAGGUAUCGGACCCCUUCUGUGCCGGAGUUAACGCAAUAAGUACCCCGCCUGGGGAGUACGACCGCAAGGUUGAAACUCAAAGGAAUUGACGGGGGCCCGCACAAGCGGUGGAGUAUGUGGUUUAAUUCGACGCAACGCGAAGAACCUUACCAGGUCUUGACAUUGAUGGACAGAACCAGAGAUGGUUCCUCUUCUCCGGAAGCCAGAAAACAGGUGGUGCACGGUUGUCGUCAGCUCGUGUCGUGAGAUGUUGGGUUAAGUCCCGCAACGAGCGCAACCCCUAUCUUAUGUUGCCAGCACUUCGGGUGGGAACUCAUGAGAGACUGCCGCAGACAAUGCGGAGGAAGGCGGGGAUGACGUCAAAUCAUCAUGCCCCUUAUGACCUGGGCUACACACGUACUACAAUGGGAGUUAAUAGACGGAAGCAAUACCGCGAGGUGGAGCAAACCCGAGAAACACUCUCUCAGUUCGGAUCGUAGGCUGCAACUCGCCUACGUGAAGUCGGAAUCGCUAGUAAUCGCAGGUCAGCAUACUGCGGUGAAUACGUUCCCGGGCCU